GAUGAACGCUGGCGGCGUGCCUAAUACAUGCAAGUCGAGCGAACAGACGAGGAGCUUGCUCCUCUGACGUUAGCGGCGGACGGGUGAGUAACACGUGGAUAACCUAUCUAUAAGACUGGGAUAACUUCGGGAAACCGGAGCUAAUACCGGAUAAUAUAUUGAACCGCAUGGUUCAAUAGUGAAAGACGGUUUUGCUGUCACUUAUAGAUGGAUCCGCGCCGCAUUAGCUAGUUGGUAAGGUAACGGCUUACCAAGGCAACGAUGCGUAGCCGACCUGAGAGGGGGAAUCGGCACCAUGGGACUGGGAAACGGGCCCAACCCCCAAGGGGGGGAAGCGUAGGGGAAUUUCCCCAAUGGGGGGAAGCCCUACGGGGGAAACCCCGGGGGGGUAAGAAGGGUCUUGGGUUCGAAAAACCUUUUUUUUAGGAAAAAAAAAAUGGUUAAUAAACUUGGCCCUUUUGGGGGGACCCAAAUAAAAAAGCCGCGGCUAACUCGGG
rnacentral:rRNA from 1 species